GAUGAAACGCUGGGCGGGCGUGCCUAACACAUGCAAAGUCGAAACGAUUAAAAGCACCUUCGGGUGUGUAUAGGAGUGGCGAACGGGUGAGUAACACGUGACCAACCUGCCUCUUACAUUGGGACAACCAAAAGAAAUUUUGGCUAAUACCAAAAUACUCCGCACAUAUCACAUGAUGUAUGCGGGAAAGCUUUUGCGGUAAGAGGAUGGGGUCGCGGCCCAUUAGGUAGACGGCGGGGUAGAAGCCCCCACCCGUGCCGAUGAUGGGUAGCCGGGUUGAGAGACCGACCGGCCACAUUGGGACUGAGAUACGGCCCAGACUCCUACGGGAGGCAGCAGUGGGGAAUAUUGCGCAAUGGGGGAAACCCUGACGCAGCAACGCCGCGUGCGGGAUGAAGGCCUUCGGGUUGUAAACCGCUUUCAGCAGGGGAAGACAUCGACGGUACCUGCAGAAGAAGCCCCGGCUAACUACGUGCCAGCAGCCGCGGUAAU
rnacentral:rRNA from 1 species